GACGAACGCUGGCGGCGUGCUUAACACAUGCAAGUCGAACGGAAAGGCCCCUUUGGGGGUACUCGAGUGGCGAACGGGAGAGUAACACGUGAGUAACCUGCCCUUGACUUCGGGAUAACUUCAGGAAACUGGGGCUAAUACCGGAUAGGAAUCCUUGCUGCAUGGUGGGGGUUGGAAAGCUUCGGCGGUUUUGGAUGGACUCGCGGCUUAUCAGCUUGUUGGUGGGGUAGUGGCUUACCAAGGCUUUGACGGGUAGCCGGCCUGAGAGGGCGACCGGCCACAUUGGGACUGAGAUACGGCCCAGACUCCUACGGGAGGCAGCAGUGGGGAAUAUUGCACAAGGGGCGGAAGCCUGAUGCAGCAACGCCGCGGGCGGGAUGACGGCCUUCGGGUUGUAAACCGCUUUCAGCAGGGGCGAAGCUUGUGGUGACGGUACCUGCAGAAGAAGCACCGGCUAACUACGUG
rnacentral:rRNA from 1 species